rnacentral:misc_RNA from 1 species
AUGUCAAACGAGGAAACGUCCGCCGACCGAAACGUCGAAAUAUGGAAGAUAAAGAAGUUAAUAAAGAGCUUGGAAUUGGCGAGAGGGAAUGGGACAAGUAUGAUCUCUCUAAUUAUCCCGCCGAAAGAUCAAAUAUCGCGUGUCAGUAAAAUGCUGGCUGAUGAAUUUGGUACCGCCUCUAAUAUCAAGUCUCGGGUCAAUAGGCUUUCUGUCUUAGGUGCUAUUACUUCUGUACAACACCGGCUGAAAUUAUACACUAAAGUACCUCCAAACGGUUUGGUAAUCUAUUGCGGAACAAUCGUAACAGAUGAAGGCAAAGAAAAAAAAGUAAACAUCGAUUUCGAACCCUUUAAACCCAUAAACACCUCUCUAUACCUUUGCGACAACAAAUUCCACACGGAAGCCCUGACUGCCCUCUUGGCCGACGACAACAAAUUCGGUUUUAUCGUCAUGGACGGUAACGGAGCCCUUUUCGGUACGCUUCAAGGCAACACGCGCGAAGUUCUGCACAAAUUCACUGUCGAUCUACCGAAGAAGCACGGCAGGGGAGGUCAAUCCGCGCUGCGUUUCGCCCGUUUACGUAUGGAAAAACGACACAAUUACGUUCGAAAAGUAGCGGAAGUUGCCACACAACUCUUUAUCAGCAACGAUAAACCGAAUAUUGCCGGGUUAAUUUUAGCCGGUAGUGCUGAUUUUAAAACGGAAUUGAGUCAAUCUGAUAUGUUUGAUCCGAGACUUCAAGCAAAAGUGAUAAAAUUGGUCGAUGUAUCCUAUGGCGGUGAAAACGGGUUUAAUCAAGCGAUAGAAUUAGCGGCGGAAUCGCUUCAAAACGUUAAAUUUAUACAGGAGAAGAAGUUAAUUGGGAGAUAUUUUGAUGAAAUUAGUCAAGAUACGGGGAAGUAUUGUUUUGGUGUUGAAGAUACGCUAAAAGGUUUGGAAUUGGGUUCAGUUGAAACGCUGAUUUGUUGGGAGAACUUGGAUAUUCAAAGGUACGUCUUGAAAAAUCACACGGCUGGAACGGAAACUGUGUUACAUCUAACGCCGGAGCAAGAAAAGGAUAAAUCGCAUUUCACCGACAAAGAUAGCGGCGUUGAAUUGGAAUUGGUCGAAUGUCAGCCUUUACUUGAAUGGUUGGCGAACAACUAUAAAAACUUUGGUGCUACCCUCGAAAUAAUAACGGAUAAAUCGCAGGAAGGAUCGCAAUUUGUUCGGGGUUUCGGUGGAAUCGGAGGCAUUCUACGGUACAAAGUGGACUUUCAAUCGUUGCAAGCCGACGAGCCCCUCGACGACGUGGACCUGGACGAUUACUAAAAAUCAUAAAUACAGAAACCUGUGUGUGUAUAUCGUCCGGGUUUCGUUCGUCGUGGUCCACAAUUUUUUUCAAGGAUUAUUAAGAUACAAAGUGGAUUUCCAAAGUAUGCAAUUAGAUGAACUGGACAAUGGCGACGAUUUUGACUUAGA